GCAAAGGUUUCAUGAGGAUGAGAGAGAGAGAGAGAGAGAGAGGAGAGAGAGUAUGUGUGUGUGUGUGUGUGUGUGUGUAUGUGUGUAAAGAGAGAGAGCGAUUUAUGUUGAGGAAUUGGCUUACACAAAUCAUGGAUUCUGAGAAGUCCCUGGGUCUGCAAGCUGGAGAGCCAGGAAAGCCCAUGGUGUGAUUCAAUCUGUUUCUAAAGGCCUGAGAACCAGGGGAGCCGAUGAUACGAAUCCUUGUCUGAGGGUCAGAGAAGUUGGCAUGCACCUAUCUUCUAGGAUGGAGCUCUAUGAGGAGAGAGACCCUACUAUUCACUUUUCUAUUUCCAGGCCACUGCAGACUGUCUCAUGUCGUUUAAGAUUGAACAACAUGGUGCCUUUGCCAGAAGUUAACAGGAAACCCAAAAGGAGAUGAGCCAGACUGGUUAGUUCAGAAGAGAAUCGUUGGGGAAGACAAUGGGAGCUGCUGUUUGAAUGUGGCCCUGAGAUUAUUUGUGCUUUUCAAUCCCAUGUUACCAAAACACAUUUCAAGCUGGCCUAUAAAUCACACCUUGUGCAUAAUUUUAAGUGGAUAAAUAUUUGUCGCCCAAGUGAAUGAUGCUUCCAGCUUUCAAAAAAUUGUAUUAAGUGUGGUUAUUAUUAUAAUGGUAUGAAUGUUUACUCUCAUUGCCUUGGCUGUGCAGAUCCAAUACAGUUUCUUUUUAAAAUAGAAGAUUUCAUCUUCUUCAUUGACUCCCAUCUCACCAGGUAAAGAGGAGAUAGGAGUCCAUCCUCUCAGUUCAGGUUCUUCAGAAAAAGGCUCAAUGACAAGAUUGUGAGUGCAAGUAGUUUAUUUGCAAGAUCAUCCUGGGAAGCUGCAAUGGGAAAGCAGGCAGUAAAAUAUGUGUUAGCAAGAACUUUAAGCACCGUGGGCAACUGGAGCCCAACCCCACUGGGGAGCUUUGGAAGA
rnacentral:lncRNA from 10 species